UCUCACAAGCAAACAUGUGGCGCAGGAGCAACGUCCCGCCUACGAGGAACCUGGAUUGGACAAGACCCUAAAUCACAUGUUCACCGAUCAAUACCCGACGUCAGCUGCGUCACACAGUCAGCUUUGAUGUAUGCAUGAGGGAGGAUUUCCUGAAGACCAAAGAGGCCAUUACCCAGGGGCCAUUAGGCCUCUAGUAGAGCAUGUCGAUGAGUGCUGAGUCUUGCUCUGUUUUCACAUGCAGCCACUUUACUACGUGGGAAUGACUAAGAGUGGGGGGAGUGAGUCAUCAUCAUCAGGAUGAAAUGCUCUGACAUUUGAGCAUGAAAGUCCCAGAGUGCCUUGCGGCCCAACAUCGCUGGCGAUUGCAGAACGCCCUGAGGCAUCCUAUCCAUCCAGAGAGACAUCUCUACCUCCUGAUGUUGUGUUUGCACAGAUGAACCUCAUCUCUGCUCUGGACAGCUCUUUCCAUUUGAGAAAAAUACAUAUUUGUGCAUUAACUUCAAAAAUUAAACUUCAUUUAUCUUUCUCCUGGUCCCAUGAGCCAGGUAAACUGAGACAAGUUUGCUAAAUGUAUGUAUGAAUGGAGGGAGAAAACAAUUGGCGGCUGUGAGUCAGCAGAAUUGGUCAGUGUGAGUCAGGCAACCUACAUCACUCUGCCGGUGUCUGUUGUCAUCAUUAAUGUCAAUAAAUUAAUGUGUGAGAGUAGCCAUCAAUUAAGGUUAUUUUCCUUCGCAUAGGAAAUGAUAAUAAAUCAAAACAUGACUGUCUGGCUUCUCUGCCACAGAUUUGUUUGGACAAGGUGGAUGGCAGGCAGUUAGUUGCUCAAUAUGUCUCAAGAAUUAGUAGCUCUGGGGAAUAAAAGCAGAUUUUCUUCCA